CUUUGAAUCAGAAGCAAAGGCAUCUCUCCCAGUGGAUGUGGAGGACGAUAGCGUUGGAGCGACAUCGACUUUGAAUUGAAGGACAAGAGACUCAUCUGGAGAUUCUGAUUCAAUUGGGACCCGAAGUCGUUGAAACAGGUCAGCUUUCUGCAUAUUAAUGGUUUCUGGGACUCCCCUUUGGGUGCCUUGCCUAUGCUACAGGUCUGUUUCGUAAAUGUUUAACCUAGUGCAAUUUUGAUGCUGUGAUAUUACACCUUAUGAACUUUCUUUCUUAUCUAUUAUUUACUUGCCAUGUCUUUUAGGUAUUAAGAUAUGCAUCAGAAAAUGUUUUUGUGCCAUUAACAGUUGCAGGUAGCAUUAGAGAUUUUACCGAUGCAACUAGCAGGUAUUGUCAUGGGUGCUCGAAUUUGUUCAACCAGUUUUGCUUUACAUGAUUGCAAAUAUCUUCUAUUGUUUUUCUCCAGAGACGCUCAAUCUAUAGCUUCGACUCAAAAUUUAUAUGACCUGUCAAAUGUAGCAUGGUAUGGACAUGGAUUUUAUAAGUUAGUUCUUCUUUUUCAGGCACUAUUCUAUCAAUAUUUCAGAUGUGGGGCUGAUAAGAUCUCCAUCGGAAGUGACGCAGUUUAUGCUGCAGAAGAAUAUUUAAGAACUGGAGUGAAAAGUGGAAAAAGUAGCUUCGAGCAGAUAUCUAGAGUUUAUGGAAAUCAGCUGUGGUUGUAAGCAUUGAUCCUUGCAAAGUGUACGUUAAAAAUCAAAAUGAUAUCGAUGUUGAGUUUGAGACUAUAAGGGUAACAAACCCAGGUUAGGGGUGGGCGGGAAAUCCAGCGAAUCAGAGCUUAUGAGCUUACAAAAGCAGUUGAGGAGCUUGGUGCUGGAGAAAUUCUGCUAAACUGCAUUGAUUAUGAAGGUCAGGGAAAGGGGAUUUGAUAUAGAUUUAGUAAAGCUGAUCUCUGAUGUGGUGACCAUUCCCAUGCUUGCAAGUAGUGGUGCUGGUGUUGUUGAACACUUCUCAGAGGUUCUCACGAAAGCAAAUGCGUCUGCUGCCUUUGCUGCUGGCAUUUUUCAUUCCAAGGAGGAAUUCAUUCUGUAAAGGAGCACUUGCUAAAGGAAGGCAUAGAAGUCAGAAUCUGAACACAUUCAUUGGACUAUCACAUUCCCUUCACACUUUUCCUGUCCAGAGUACUUCAUUGGACAAAUUUGCUCAUCAAAGUAACAAAUGUUACUUGGAGUGUUGAACCCAAGCUGGAUCUAUAAUAGUGGGAUUUUAAUUUUAUUUUAUUUCUGCAGAAGUAGCGGUCACAACAAUAAUUGUAAAAAGCUAGAGAAAGUUUUACUACCUUCAUCACGUAUCUAGAAUCCAGACCUUUAAAAUCAAACCAACUAGCACUACCAAGUUUGAUUGCUGAAGACUUGGUCCGAAUCCCAUA